UAUCUUCAACUGGCCUUGACAAUAAAAA
rnacentral:piRNA from 2 species